UGGGGGGUCGUCCAACAGGCCUAGGACGCCAGGUUUUGGUCCUGGAGAUCGGGGUUCAAGUCCCUGCCCCCCAG
rnacentral:tRNA from 1 species